UUCAUACGAUCGUUCCAUGGUGCCGUUUGGAUGAUUUCCAAAUGGCUUAAAAGGGAAGUUCGGUGAAAAUCCGACGCGGUCCCGCCACUGUGACAAGGAGUGGCAUCGCCAGUGUGACCCACUGUUUUCUGCGCGGACGGAAAAUGGGAAGGGCGCGAUGCUGCGUUUGUACUUGGAGCCAGGAGACCUGCCAUGGAACGGAAGCAACC
rnacentral:ncRNA from 1 species